AUUGAACGCUGGCGGCAUGCCUUACACAUGCAAGUCGAACGGUAACAGGUCUUCGGAUGCUGACGAGUGGCGAACGGGUGAGUAAUACAUCGGAACGUGCCUAGGAGUGGGGGAUAACUACUCGAAAGAGUGGCUAAUACCGCAUGAGACCUACGGAUGAAAGCAGGGGAUCGCAAGACCUUGUGCUACUAGAGCGGCCGAUGGCAGAUUAGGUAGUUGGUGGGAUAAAAGCUUACCAAGCCAACGAUCUGUAGCUGGUCUGAGAGGACGAUCAGCCACACUGGGACUGAGACACGGCCCAGACUCCUACGGGAGGCAGCAGUGGGGAAUUUUGGACAAUGGGCGAAAGCCUGAUCCAGCAAUGCCGCGUGCAGGAUGAAGGCCUUCGGGUUGUAAACUGCUUUUGUACGGAACGAAAAGCCCCGGGUUAAUACCCUGGGGUCAUGACGGUACCGUAAGAAUAAGCACCGGCUAACUACGUGCCAGCAGCCGCCGUAA
rnacentral:rRNA from 1 species